GGUCAGCAACCUAUGUGGCUCAAAUCAAACACACCCAAAGGUGCACGCUGGUUCUGAUGCUAAAUGCUAAAAUGCUAAAAUGCUAAAAUGCUAAUGUUGGCGCAGCAGUGGCUUCUCCGUUCACUCAUGAACUUUUACCUUCAGUGAGGUGUUUGAGGACUGUGUGCUGUUGUGACUGCAGACCCUCAAUCAGCUUCUCACAAACAUGUUUGAAAGAGAGGGACAGAGAGGCUGUGUGGACUCUGGAUUGAGAAUAAACAGGAGCAGAUUGAGCAGGACAUCAGUACCUGCUGAGACAUAUCUUCUGGUAGAGCACCAACGCCCACUGCAGGGGCCACAUGCACAGCCCGUUCUCAAACCAGCUCUGACAGCGGAACACAGGCGACAGGCAGACGGCCGCCGUCAUAUAGCUGGAUGAUCCACACUCUCCCAGCUGCUCAGAGAUGGCAGAUGGUGCUACAAGCAAAUGACUGGCAUCACAACACAUUUUGGUGUUGAGCCAAAAGGAAGAUGACCUGAUAUAUAACUGCACUUCUUGCCUAGAUGGACUUCACUCACCAUGGAUUUUAUAUACAUUUUCUAUUAAUACGUACCAAUAAAGGAAUUUUUAUCGUCCUUGGUUAAUAAUAAAUAAUGAAAGCA